UCAGGUUCAAGACGCCAUUUUCAAGCAUUAGUCCAACAAACAUAACACAUUCUUUAUUUUAGAUGAUGUGGAAUUUGAAGUAUCAUCUGACCGGAGGACUGGGAAACCUAUUGCUAUUAAAUUGGUGAAGAUAAAACCAGAAAUACAUCCUGAAGAACGAAUGAAUGGACAAGAAGUAUUUUAUCUGACUUACACCUCUGAAGAUGUGGAAGGGAACGUUCAGCUGGAAACUGGAGACAAAAUUAACUUUGUAAUUGAUAACAAUAAACACACUGGUGCUGUAAGUGCUCGUAACAUUAUGCUGUUGAAAAAGAAACAAGCUCGCUAUCAAGGAGUAGUUUGUGCCAUGAAGGAGGCGUUUGGCUUUAUUGAAAGAGGUGAUGUUGUAAAAGAGAUAUUCUUUCACUAUAGUGAAUUUAAAGGUGAUCUAGAAACCCUGCAGCCUGGAGAUGACGUGGAAUUCACAAUCAAGGACAGAAAUGGUAAAGAAGUUGCAACAGAUGUCAGACUAUUGCCUCAAGGAACAGUCAUUUUUGAAGAUAUCAGCAUUGAACAUUUUGAAGGAACUGUAACCAAAGUUAUCCCAAAAG
rnacentral:lncRNA from 1 species